rnacentral:rRNA from 1 species
AUUGAACGCUGGCGGCAGGCCUAACACAUGCAAGUCGAGCGGAUGAAGGGAGCUUGCUCCUGGAUUCAGCGGCGGACGGGUGAGUAAUGCCUAGGAAUCUGCCUUGUAGUGGGGGAUAACGUCCGGAAACGGGCGCUAAUACCGCAUACGUCCUGAGGGAGAAAGUGGGGGAUCUUCGGACCUCACGCUAUCAGAUGAGCCUAGGUCGGAUUAGCUAGUUGGUGGGGUAAAGGCCUACCAAGGCGACGAUCCGUAACUGGUCUGAGAGGAUGAUCAGACACACUGGAACUGAGACACGGUCCAGACUCCUACGGGAGGCAGCAGUGGGGAAUAUUGGACAAUGGGCGAAAGCCUGAUCCAGCCAUGCCGCGUGUGUGAAGAAGGUCUUCGGAUUGUAAAGCACUUUAAGUUGGGAGGAAGGGCAGUAAGUUAAUACCUUGCUGUUUUGACGUUACCAACAGAAUAAGCACCGGCUAACUUCGUG